rnacentral:tRNA from 1 species
AUCGGUAGCUCAGUUGGUUAGAGCAUCCGGCUCAUAACCGGAUGGUCCCAGGUUCGAGUCCUGGCCGAUC